UACGGAGGGGGCGAGCGUUAUUCGGAAUUAUUGGGCGUAAAGGGCGCGUAGGCGGCUCUACAAGUCAAAGGUGAAAUCCCUCGGCUCAACUGAGGAACUGCCUUUGAAACUGUAAGGCUUGAGGCCGGGAGGGGGUAGCGGAAUUCCCAGUGUAGCGGUGAAAUGCGUAGAUAUCAGGAGGAACACCGGUGGCGAAGGCGGUUCUCUGGGCAUUACCUGACGCUGAGGAGCGAAAGUGUGGGGAGCGAACAGG
rnacentral:rRNA from 1 species